GCAUCUUGUCCCGGACCAAACAGCGCGCGAGGAUUCUACGUCUUUUCUGAAGCAUCUUUCUGUCUCGCUUGGAUUUGAUCGUCACAUCAUGUUCUCUUGGCUCAGUUUCCUUCCUUUUUGCCUUUUUCUAAGUAUUCUCCCCACCGCGGCUCAAUUCGGUCUGCCCGGAGCCAGAACCGCUGUCCCGAGUGUCCCGAGCCUCCCCUUCGGGCCCUACUGCCCGCUGGGGACUGUCGUCUCCGCCUCCGGAGAGGCCUUCACCGAUCCCCGGCUCCAACAUCUUGUUUCUUUGCUCUCUUACUUUGGCGGACUAGAUGCAUCUUCCAGGAGCUUCGUGGACCAGGGUGCGCGGAGGCAAACGAAUUUGGCACAUCAGGAGAUGCCUUCCUCGCUCUGCCCACACUUGCUUGACCGCGGGGCGGGCGCUCCGUAGCCCGGGGAGGGAGACGGCUUUGCUCCGGGUCUGUCUGCGUGUGGCGUUGGCGGGGCACCUGCUGCUGUGCGAGCCUCUCUCCCCUGCUGACGGGCAUCUCCGUCCCGCCCCUCGUGUGCGGGAGUGUUGGGCACCACCUGUGCGAGCAGACGGCUGCUCGUGCCAGGCCGGGGGUUCCUCGCAGGGCCUGACCCUGCCGUCGUGAGAAGCGAGUAGAAACGCGUCCCAGGUAUCAGGUUUAAGAACCGCGUCUGGAGCCUCCUCUGAGCCGUGCGACCGUGGGCGAGUCCUUGAACCUCCCCGCGUCUUCAUUUUCCCCUUUGAAAUGGGGGCGUCGGCAGGCCGGCACAGCCUGUGCACGUAGCUGCACGUAACGGCCCCCCUCCCUUGCUUGCGUGGGGGCUCUUUUCUUUAUAAGCCACCUGGUCUGACCCGAAGACGUUCGGUAGGUAAGUGCUUUUGAAGAGAGUUUGGUGUACUGGAGCCAGUCCACGUAGAAGACAGGGUCGGGCCAGAAAUUCUAGCAGCACACGGAGGGGACGUAGAGAUUCGUUGUCCGUGUGUCGGAAUUUUAUUCGGAGAAGGUCCGUGCGUCCGCAGCUGUGCUACGGGGCCGCCCUGCUGGUCCCACGGCAGACCUUUCCAGCCACGUUGAAGUGCUGUCCGGUCGUCUUAGGACGCAACUUUGAUGAGAAGCACGAUGCUUGUGCUGAGCUGUGUCGCCUUCUCCAUGCAGAGGUCCCGCUGGGGUUUCCGAGGAGCCCACCUCCCGCCCACUCUGAGGACCUCUGUGGUGGUGCCGGCUGAUGCCAAGGGUGGUGAUGGCUUCUCGGGGAUGGGGAGCGCGCUCUGGUUGAGCUUGUUUUCUCUGUCACGUAGGAAAUAAAUUCAGAGCAGAUUUCACAAAGACCCAGAAAGGCCUGGCUGGAGCCCGCAGGAAGGAGCCUGUGCUCGAGGGGCAGUGGACGCAGGCGCUGGGCAGGCUGAUAGUGCCCAUCUGCUCGGGUGUGCCCAGAAACAAGAGGCACCGGGGCUUGCUGGAAAGAGCCUUUGCUUUGAUGUGGUUUGGGGGCUGGCCGUCUGGACGGGACCGCGGAGCAGCGUGGUUCUGGUCCCGAGGGGCUGGGUGUCCUGUGUCUCGGCGGUCAGCCCUGUGCAGGCAGAGGAAGCCCGGCGUCCGGCCCGUCCUGUGGACAGCGUCCACGCAGGAGGUGCCGACAUGGCCACAGGAGCUUGAGGUCCUCGGCGCUUUCUUCCACCUGCCACCCGGACGGCAGCCGCUCCUCCCCAGAGAGCUGUCGGCCGCCCCCGGCCCGUCCCUGAUGCUUUGGAACUCGGACGUGUGGCUGUCGGAAAAGCUUCAGUGUUUCCAGACGUGCCUCACGGCUCUGACCCUUCACUGGGGUCGGACGGACGGGGCGCACGGUGGGUCCCAGUCAGCUGCCGCGGGGGACUCGGGCGUGGGGCCCUCGUUUCUUUCUUGGCCAGGGGAGUUGGCGAGUGUGGUUUUCUGGCUGUAUGUUACUCUCGUGUAAUGGUACCAGAGGUGGGGUGAAGUUUGCUUAAGUUUUUACGCGGUGGUAUUUUUAUUUGAAGUUAAACGUUUUGGGGUUUUUUGUGUUGUGUUUUGCACGUGGGAGGCCUUGUUUCAUGAUUUCCCCGCGUGUGAUGACAGCGAUGCAGGUCUGGCUCCCACGGGAAGGUCUGCUCGGCAUCGCCUCCUGCGGGUUCCACGAGGCCAAGUGGCUCCACGGAUCUUCUUGUCCCUUGAACCUGAAAGCCAGUUUUGCUGGAAGGAGAAGGGUGGCAGUUUUUACUUGUCUACCAAGAAAUGAUUCAUUGUUUUUAGACCAGCGACAUCGGGUGCCGUUUUAUUCACAGUGCUCGUGGGGUACGCUCGCUCCUUGAGGUCAGUCUCUAAGAUGAAAAAGUCAAGUAUGUGUUUGAAAAGCAUUUGCUCAAAUGAGUUACCUUCAAAUCGUUUGCGACACCGUUCAGAUGCAUCAUUGUCCCCACCACUUGGUGAGGCGGCUGGCACGGACACGGUGGCCCAGGUCUCCCACUGGGACCCUCUGCGGCGCUCUGUGCUCGCGUUCGGCAGAGGCGACUUAGAACUUGAUGUAAGACUCUGCUUCCAUCGCUUCUAGAGUUAGCAGACACGCGAAAAGGACAGUAUUUCUGCCAAACCAAUUAUUAAUCCGUUCACGGCCAAAGAACAUAGCAUAACGUGGUUGGUAACUCUCACGUCACAGAAAUCCACGGCUGACGGCUAAUCGCUGACACACGUCCCAGGCUCACACCGCCCAGUCCCGCUGGCUCUCUCCCCCUUUCCAGCCUGCGCUGCAGACGUACGGACAGCUGGGGGGGCUCUCCCACAGUCUGUGCAGGUCUCGUCCUUCCAGAAGGUUCCCCCAGUCUCACUGCAGUGUCGGGACAGACGGCACUAAAAUGCUCUGGGGCACUGGCACACGUGAAAGGUGCUUGUGGUGUCGGUGGACCCGGGCGGGGUCCCCUUCAGCCCCAGGCAGGCGUGUGGCCGGGACAGAAGUCUGGGGCGUUGCUGACCCGAGGACGUCCUGUCCUGUGGCAGCUGGUGGGGCAUCUCCCCCGUGUGGCCAGCGGUGGCUCUGGCACCUGAGGUGUAAUUUAGGGUGUGCACCCCCUCUGUUCCCUGCAGUUGGGUCGUGGCCCUGCCCCCUGACCUCACUCUGGGAGCCACCUCCUCUGUGUCUCGUCCGUGGUUUUGUCUCCUGCUGUUUCACAUGAAGCCGGAGUGAACACCACGUGUGCUGGUCGUGCUUGUGUGUGGGUGUGCUCCUCACGUGCGUUUCUAGGCCGGCACUUGGUGGCCUCGUGCCUCCGUGGAAGGCCGAAUGGUUUUCCAUGAGAGCAGGUGAUGACGCUCAUUUUCUGUGGCACAGUGUUUGGUGGCAGCUAAUGGCCAACACGACAGGUGAAUGUUGGUGUUGCCGUGGCUUCAUUUUAACGUGCUUUUCUCUUCUAACGGGCUGUGCCCUGGGCCUCAGACGGAGGAAAAUGAGCUCGCCGGUCACCAGGCCGCAGCAGCUGCCCUGGCCAGAGAGGCGGGACCCGGCCGCUUCCACUCAAGGGAAGACGCCCAGGAGCCCGAUGUCCGAGCUCACAGAGCGACUCCCGACGGCCAUCCCAGGCGAGCUCCAGGCCGGAGGAGCCGUGCAGGAGGACGAGAGCUAGUACACGGACAGCGCUGAGAAGGGCAGCGAGGAAGAAAAUGUGCUCCGGGGGUCCAUCCGAACCACGGAAGAGAGAACGAGCAGGGGAGCGCGCGCUCAGAGACGCGGGGCCCCGGUUAGCGUGCCGACCUUCCACAGCGAGAGCCGUCGGAGCGCGGAGGGGAGGGGCAGGGGCAGAAAACCUCCCAGAUCAGGUAGAAGACGUUCUAACACGUCCCGAAAUCUUGACGGACCCCAAGCAGGCUCAGCACAGAGAGCCACACCCAGACGCAUCGCGGUGGAAGCGCGCGAGGCGGACAAGGGCGCUGCGGGCCCGGCAGCCGCUUCUCAUCAGACACCGCCCAGGCCCCAGGCCCCAGGGCGGCACGCUGCCACACGGGAGAGAAGGCCGUCAGCCAGGCGGAGCUGUGGCGCAAACGAAGCUCGAAGCUCGGAGAAGACGUCCCGGCCGAGAACUGAGAGAACUCGCUGCCCUCGCGGGAAACCCCGAAGGGAGCUCCUCGGUCACGGAGCCGAUGACCCGGACAGAGCUGAGAACCCACGUCCACGCGCACAGCAGCGAGCCCCGUGGGGGUGAGCGGGCGAUCGGCAGGCAGGAAGAAUUCCGAGUUCUCUCCUUUUUUCACCGAGUGGAGAGAAAAAGCAGUUGCGUGAGGCAGCGUGGACGCAACCGUCGGGCCCGUGGAGUGGAGAAGCGCGAUGCUUGCCGGCGCCCACGCCGAGGCCGUGGGUACGAGAGGCUUCGGGAGACGUGGCGAGCGGGCGGGCCAGCGGGACGUGCUGUGAGCCUCUCCCCUCAGCCGCUCCGCAGGACGCAAAGGGACAGAAGGUAGCGACCGUGGCCGCGUGCGGCACGCGUAGGUGGACCGUGCGUGACAGGAGGAGCGCAGGAAGGAAGCAUGGGUUCUGAGCCGGGCGGCGAGUCUGCACCGGCGUGCGACCAGGGAAACCGCUGUUGGUUGUGAGGGCGUGACGCGGGGUCUGGGCGGGGAAGGAAGUCCGAGGGGACAGCCCCCGUCCUGGGGCGUCACGUGGGGUGUGCUGGUUUCGUGCGGAGGAGGCAGGAAGGAAGGAGCAGGAUCAGAAGUGCACGAGGGCCGGGGUGAACGUGCGCGUAACCAGCACGAGUGGGUCGCGUGACCCGUGACCCGAGAACAGAUGGUGACCCGUUUGUCGGUCACGGGGAGGACUCCUUCCUCAGGGCCCUGCACAGUGUGGGGUCACAGUGAGCGCCCGUGAGCCCACCCGUCUGCCGACAGCGGUGCCCGUGAGGCUGCACGAGGACGUGAGGACGUGGACGGGGAGGUGACAAAGAGGGGCACCGGCGGCCGUCCUGCCCUUCCCUGCGAGGUGUUAGAAGUCGUCUCGUUACGUGUAACUUCACGUCAGUCGUCAGGCUUUCCAAAACCAGUCGCAGCAAAGGGGAUCCAGACGCUUGUGUUUUGGGGACCGUCCCUCCCCCGCCCUGACACCUGCGUGUUGACUGCCGACCACGGGUCCCCGAAGGCACGCGUGCUGAAGCCGCUGCCUGCGUGGGCCGUCCCACGAGGGCGCUUGUCGGAAAGCGGGGGCUCCCGUAGGUCUCGAGACGCUUGUGGAAAUUCACCUCGGACUGGCGUUCGGUGACAGGAGCCUGCCUGUCCAUCGGGAAAGCGGCACGGCCUUCCUGCCGCCCGUCGGGCUGGGGCGCCCGGAGCCCCGAGCCCACCUCUUGUCCACCCGCGUUUGGGGAGCGUGCUCCAUGCAGGAUUGUGGCAAAACCACCGAAUCAAGUCAAGUAUUCUGUUUUUUAACCUUGCCCGUCUGUCAGAGUGAGAGGCCUCGAUUUUGUUCCGGGCCCUUCCGUGUCCUGGUCGCACAGAGCAGGGCUUCUUGUGCUCAUCCGUGUCCAGGACUCACUGAGGACACGCUUCAUGCCCCAGCCGCCGCUCCCGUCAUCUACUCGAUAAGCCUGGUUGCCGGGUAACCGGGUUACUCCGGGUUAUGUACUCACUCGCACUCGCUAAGCCUGGCUUCCCUGAGCGAGACACCCGUCCUGCCCAGGAUAGGUGAGUCCUGCUGCCGGGCCGGGUGGAGCCAGCACCCUGGGGGCCGCCGCCGCUGUGACGGCACGAAGCGCACGUUGGGGGUUGGCUGCCCCCCCCCCCCCCCGCGGCCCAGGCAAGGCCCGAGCCCGUGGGUCAGGUGACCUGGUUGCCUGUGUCCCCACUCACGACGAGGAGCGGGUUCCCUGCAGUUGUGCCUGAGGCGCCGGCCGCUGCUGGCGUCCGUCCUCAUAGGUGAGCAGGCGCCCACUGUGCCCACUGGUGCCCACGCUUGCUUCGCGCCGUGCACGUGUUCUGUCCGCCUUGCGCGUCGCCGUUCCGCAGGAUGCAGACCGGGCUGUCCCGCACCUGCACACACAGGAGAAGGGCUUGUUAGUCGAGACGGUGACUUCGCCGCGUGCAGCCCUGUGGCUUUUUUUCUGCCGGGAAACCAAGCGGGUUUAACCGGUGAGCUGAAAAGUACAUGCCCUGUGGGCGCCGUUUGGGGGUCCUUGGUCAGAUGCCGGCGUGUGUUUGCCACGGUCCCUGAGACAUCCACGUCCGUAACUCGGCGCGCUCGGGGCGCCAGUGAAAGUGUGUGCUCGGAAGCUGCAGCGUCCGGGAGGAAGUUUGUUCCUGUUCGUGCUAUUUCCCGCCUUGAGCGUGGGAGGGUUUUUUCCACCCUGAACAUGAGAGGGUUUCCAGCUCUCCGUUUUCUCCACGUUAAAUCUGUUCGCAUUUCUCCGCGGAACCGCACACGUGGCUGUAAAAACAACAUAAACGUGUGCUGUGCUGAGGGGAGACGAAGCUUUGAUCGUUCACAGGCGUUUGUUAGCUGUGACCUGCAGGCCUGAGAUGCUUUUUAAUUACUAAAAUCUAAUCGUGUAUAAAAAUUUAUUCUCCGAAUGUUA